CCAAAGGUGUUCUUGACUCACUCACUCUCUUUUCUCGUAGUACACCACCACACCAAUCAGGUUAUUUCUUUCACGCACCGCCACGUCGGCUCCUCCCACUUUUUUGCGCAAUCGUCGUGCCCUCCGCGCCUGCUGCUGCAGACAGGGGGGCAAACGUUAGACAAGCGCUUUGCGCAAGAGGAUGAAGCAUUUAUACGUGAAAGUUCACUUUCGAUUUGCCAUCGAUGAUUUCACUUAUCGGCUUGCCCUCGUCCUCCCCCCAAUGCUUACUUCCAGUGGUUUUUCGCACACUCCGAACAUUUUUUU
ensembl:ncRNA C55A6.15 ncRNA